GAGUCCAAAAGUCCGUAUCGGUGCACUAGCGCUCAAUGCUUAUGCCCUCUCGAUUGGUCCUCCGCCAGCCAAAGCUGGUACAUGCAUGGCAAUGGAGUAACAACUAACAAUGACACAGAGAGAGAGAGAGAGAGAGACGAGAGACGAGAGCAAACGAACAAGUGAAAAGGAAGCUGCAUAGAGGAAGACGAUUUCUGUGAUUCUUUCAACAGAGGCAGCUCCACCAAUGACCAUUUCGCAGAAAUUGCUUCCAAUAAGGACUAAUCUCAUUCUUGAGGUGCCAUUUUUGAGAUUCUAAGUGGAGGUUGGCUGAUUAUGGAACACAUUCUUCUUCCAUGUCCUUCUUCCAUCAAUCAUCUCCUACCUCAUUCUCGAGCAGCGGUUGCAACCUGUCGCAAGCGCUUCGUUGUAAGCUGACAAAGGGCCUAAGCGGCGUCGUUUCUUCUCUCACAUUCUCCUGAACUGGGAUUUUCUCGUCUUCGACAAGAUUGGGGUGGGAGGAGGAGACACAGGGAAUAGGAGUCAUCUUAAUCACAAGGCCAUUGAGAAGGGCUUUGAGUAUUUUGAGAGUCAAUGUUAGGAUCUAUUUUUCAGUAAAUGCAGUAAAGCUGCUUAAACAUGCAGAUCCUGUUUUGUAUGCUACAAUAACUGACCAAAGCUCAUCCAUGGUGUUGCAGGACAUUCAACUAUCCUACAAGUGCCUUGACCAAAAUAUGUAACUGGUAAAACAAAAUUGGUAAACUUGCUAAUCAGUUUUGGAAAAUUUUCCUGAGAUCUGCUCUUCCCUUAGUGUUAUAGAUUGUGUUGAUACAAUUUCUAAACAACAAAUACAUGAGAUGGACUUCUUGCAAGUCAUUGUUGCAGUUUGAAAUAAAGGGCUCAUCAUUUACUUGCCAUACAGCUAUCGAAACUUAUGCAUGCUUAGCACUCAUCUAAUACAAGCACUUUUCUUUUAAAUGCAGAAUGAAUUAUAAUGCCAAGAAAUUAUUAAUUUUCAUCACGUCUAGUGUAGAGGAUGCCUGUCAUUAAUGCUCAACAGCUACUUUUGCAGAAGAGACUGAUGAUCCACUUCUGAGCAUCUACCUUCUGUAUCCUCUCAUACCCUUCUGUUUCUUGAAACAUAGUACUGACAGAUGUUAUCACAUGAGGUAUAAGGAAGGUUAGUACAAGAAAAAAAAGUUUAAGUGAAAAAUAAAACAAGUAUAAGGACUUGAUCUCAGCUUUUAAAGCUUAUUAACAUUAAAAAGCAUGGCUAGUUUGAGGGCUAAAUCUAGACUUGUUCUAAAUUUUCUUCUUUUCUUGUUUUAUUACCCCUAAUAAUUGAACAUUCAAAAACCUAAUCCUUAUGUAAUUACCUAACCUUUUCUCAGCAAUUGGUCCAUCAUAUUUAAUCCUAAAUCUACUAACUUCUCAUUGUCCCUGAAAACUUGCAUUCCAUAUCUUCAUUUCCUGCAUGUAAUGCAGCCCAAGCAAAGAACAUCUUUACUCAAUUUUAUUCACUAAUGCUAAUAUCUUUAUGCAAGUUAUGAAUUCAAGCCAGAACGCCAUAAUUUUCUUACUCUGCAUUACAAAAUGAUGAUUAUUCAUGAGUGGUAAGAAAUAAUUUGACAUAAAUUUGUUCUUACCUCUGUUUACAGAUGGUUUUAGGUGACAAACUUGAGUGGAAGGCAUUAAAUACACAGGAGUUGAUGUUACUAGUUAAACUUUGAGUCAUUUUUAAAAGACAAUGCUUUUUAGUAUACCAUCCUUGCACUUGAGAAGUUCAAAUUUCAGUAUCAUGAGUAUCAAAUAUGUGAAAAAUAUUACAGAUGAAUAUGAUUCUAAAAUGAAAUAGGUAACACCAAACCACCUUUUUCAUGGACAUUCAAGAGAGAAUGACAAUGAUCAAGGAUCAAGUAUGUACUUCUAAUUUCUAUGUUAUUUUCCCUGCUAAACACCACAAAUAUUUGUUCUAUUUGGUUAGUUGAUCCUGUUUGACAGAACUCAUAUUGCAUUUUUAUUACAAUUGGUUAGCAAACAUCCUCUUCCUUUUUAAAGCAAAUUUUAUGUUGUUUUGUGUUUUCAGCAUGCAUCCCUAUGCAACAAAAUCUGUAUGCUAAUAGUUAAGCUUACAACUUCCUUGGGGGAUAAACCCUCAGUAUUGACAUGUCAAGAUGUAGCACUUGAUGUUAAAAUUCUUAACGUCUCAUCAUCAAAUGGUGACUUUUCUUGUUACUGAAUGAGGCUAUAAUCACUUAAUGUUCCCCACUUAUUUUGCCUCAUUAAUUAGUUAAUGGAGACACUUUGAAGCUUAUCCUUAGUAUUUCUACUUGCUUUUCUUGUCUCUUUUGUGUAUUUUCCUGUACGCCAGGUGUCCGCUUUGGAUAUUUGUAAUUAAUAUCAGCUAACAAAUGUGCUUUUCUUUUUCCUUUUUAUCCAUCAGUAUUAUGCACAAAAGUAUUCAUCUUUUUCUUUAUCCUAAUUUGUAACCGGUGUAUCCUAUUUUUCAAUUAUUAUCAUUUUCUUUCCAUUUGAUUGAUAUCCUGCUUUUAAUAUCAUUCACUUGAUUCUGACUUUCUAGAAUUGUUUAGUUGAUACGGGCUCAUCUCAUGACGCCAAGAUUAUUAUUUCUCAUUUUUAUGUGAAUAUAUUAAUGGGCUUUUUUUUUGGGGGGGGGGGGGUGUUUUACUUCUUCUGUUGUAUGAAUCCUUUGCUAAAUUAAAUUAUUUGUCCUCCAUAUACUUCCAAUUUCUUCUCACAGUAACUGAAAAGUGUAAAUACAAAUUUAUGGAUUGAGCAUAGAGUACUAUAAUAUUAGGAUCGCCCUUAUGGCUGACUACCAGUCUACCUUAGAGACAGAUGGACCGAUAUGUAUGUGAUUGUGUCAAACUGUAUAUUUUAACUAAAGGCAUCUAGCUCAGGAAGUGGAACAGAAGUCGGUCAUUGAUUAACCUCAUAAAUCAAUCUAGUAUAUCAAGAAAUUUGUUACCCUUCCAAUCCUUUUAAAUCACCAACAACCAAAUAUAUAACGAAAGAAGUUAUCAUGUCUCACUAAGUGUUUCAAUUAUGGUUCUUCAGUUUCCAUUUGGUAUCAUUAGUUUUUGACUGAUAAGUCUGAUAUACAUCAAAAUAAGAGAUCGUGAGGAACAGUAGACUUCUAACAUAUUCCUUUGUCUAUAUGCAGACAUUAUAUAAUGAUUUUUCGUUUGUGGAAUAAACUGUUGCGCAGAUUUUGACAAUUUAAACUCUUGAAAUUCUCCAAUGGAGAGUAAUCUUGUCAUCAUAUUAGUGGCCUACACUAUGAAUGUUGCUGCACUUGCGUAGUGUUCAAGAUUCUUGCUGCUUUUUUUGUCCGUCUUUUGCGGUUGUCUUGAAAGGGUUGUUAUGUGAAUAUGGGCUAUCUGUCAUCAAAUCUAAAUGUGACAAAAUUUUGCAAUCAACUUGGACUUCCAAGUUUAUUGCGUCAAUCAACACUUGAGCCGAAAGAAAUGGUUCAGUGCAUUUGUUCUUCAUGCUAUUGAUAUAUUUUCCUACUUGAAAUGUUUUCUUCAACUACACUUCAUUGUCAUAGUGGGUUCACAUUCACAUAGUGGAAGCUACAUAUUAUUGAAAACUACCUGUCGAUGAUGGCAGGUGUUUAUUUUUUAAAAUAUCCCCUUCAAAUAUACCUUUUUGAGGGUUAAACUUCAAACUAGUUAAUGAAACCCUCAAAGAUUAUUAUUGUUUCUUUAGUUCAUGGUGGGAGCUAUACAUUAUUUGAAAAGUACCUUACUGUGAUGAAGGCAUGUGCUUAUUUCUGCAGAUAUCACCUUCAAGUGCGCUUUUUGGAUGGAAAGUCCAAAACUAAAAUAGUUGUUGAACCUGUCAGAAAAGAUCUGUUUUCCCUGUUUAAAGAAACAUAAAGUUAUUAUUCUUUGAUCCCUGAAGUAUACAUCAAAAUGCAUCUAGUUUUUAUUAGAGAAUGUAAAGUUGUUGUAUUACAUCAUGGUUAGUAUAAAAAUUCAUUUGAAGGAAUGAAUAUAUGCCAACAGUUGACAUUUGCAUCCUUGUCUUCUACCUAAUACCCACAAGCUGAAAAAGUGUGUUGCACUCAAAAGAAGAAUUUUUUUUUAUUCUACUUCUUAGUUUCCACAACUAAAUUUUAUUUUUCAAAGAACUAUAUUUUAUCUUCUGAAGAAAAAAAAAAGUCAAGAUAGUUGUGAGAGGUAUUCAUGAUAUCACAAAAUAGGAAAUGAAAAUGAUUGAAAUAGAAUAUACAUUGGAAGAAGCAUUAGCAAUGAGAUGUUUUGUAAUGCUUAGUUUGGCAGGUAGGUGUACUCUUCUUGUGUUAAGAUAAAGAAACUAAGGAAACCUUUUCAGAUGGUUCUGAAGCUAGCUUUCAGCAGUUAUACAGUUGAGAAGUUUAGUUAACUUGUGGCCCCAGAAAUCCUUAUUCUCAAAAUUAGGUGACUAGGCAUCCUUUCACACCAUAUCAACUAGGGAAUUGUCCAACCUUUUUCAUCCAAACCUCAAACAGAAAAGGACUUUAUCCGACGGAUCUGCUAUGACUAUGAAGAUUACUUGUCUUUUGUAUUUGCCUUAGUAUAAGCUUUCCACCAAUUAGAUGUUAAUUAGCAACAACAUUAAUUCUCUCCACCAAUUAGAUUAAGUUAAGCAUCUUUGAUUUGAAUAUGAUCACUAGACUCAUACCAGUGACUAGUCGUAGGCAGUUCAAACAAAUGGCAAUACCUUGUCAAUGGUCAUAUUCUGGUGAUCAAAUGGGAAGGGUAUGUGUCCCAAGAAAUAGAAAAAGAAAAUAAUCUAAAUACAAGUUGUACUAUUUUUUCUAUUGUUUUACUUUUCUUUUGGCAUUGAACAGCGGCUAAGAGACUGAUGCAACAAGAAAUUGUAGAGCCUGGGCUGAAGUUGUUAUCAAUGCACACGUGCAGAAGAAAUUGAAGAGCAAAACUAAGUCUUGGUUGGGAAUGAAAAAAAUCUGUGAAGGCUACAGGAGUAGGUAAAACAGGUUUACUGGAAUCUGCUAAUCUGCUAGAGGUGGAGAUUGCCAUUUGCCAUUAGCCAUUGCAGGGAUUGCAUUUAAAAUUGUUGAGAUUAUGAAGGUCAGAAAUAAGAGAGAGAGAGAGAGAGUUGUUAAGAGUGGAAGAAAAGGGCUGAGAGGUAGCAGUGAGAGUAACCAAUCAGUUGGGAAAUGGUGGGUGUAAGAUGGGAGAUGGCUUUCCCUCGCUGUUUCAACAAGCAAUUUCUCCUACUUGGAGAAUGGACCAGAAGGAAAUGCCGACAGUUUUCUCUUUUUUAAAAAGUCGGACUGGGGACUCAAAUAUAGAUUUAUCUGCAUUAUGCCUUUAAUUUAAGGUAAAGGUGAGAAAAAUAAGGUUAUGUAAGUGCUGGAUUUUUCAUUUUUAACUGUCGGGUUAUGAAUUGAAAUUUAAUUAA